rnacentral:lncRNA from 1 species
CGAACUUUACGAAAAGGCUUUUGCCUCCCUUGGUCCAAGACAAUGCUAAAUCGGCCGUAUUUUGCCGAUAGCUCCCAAUCCACUAGUCGAAUCGUGAAAUCGAUUUCGCCCCCGCGUUUUGUGGCCUACCAAUUAGGUUUACAAGGCCUCAAAUGAGAUCAAUCUCAUACUUUACUAAAAACCCCAUUUUGGGUGCCCUAGGUGUGAGACCCCAAAUAGUCCUAUAUAUGAGAUAUAAUAGGGCUAAACUCUUAACCCGGCUUAAGCAUUUUGGGUGGUGGCAAGGCCCAAGAGGUUAAGAGAGUUAAGCGUGCUAGGACGGGAGUAGUCCUAGGAUGGGUGACCCCCUGGGAAGUUGGGGCGUCACAGAUGGUAUCAGAGCCAAUUACCAGCCGGAAGUGUGAGAUGAGUCUCGGCUGAGCCAGGGUCUGGAUGACGGGCUAGCGAGACGAGUCUCACAUCGCCUGGUAUUUGUGAGUCUGAGCCUGACGAGGACGUCAGGGCUUAAAGGAGGGGAGAUUGUGAGACCCCAGAUAGUCCUAUAUAUGAGAUAUAAUAGGGCUAAACUCUUAACCCGGCUUAAGCAUUUUGGGUGGUGGCAAGGCCCAAGAGGUUAAGAGAGUUAAGCGUGCUAGGAUGGGAGUAGUCCUAGGAUGGGUGACCCCCUGGGAAGCUGGGGCGUCACACUAGGUUUCCACCUAUAACAAACCACCCAAUCAAAACUUUAAAUUCUAGCAUUGAUCUAUUUAGAAGCAUGCUAGAGGUCCAAUUGACCCAUUUCAAAAGCUCAAAGCCCAAAAACCCUAAGUUCUACAAGCUAAGGUUUGUAGCUUACUUCUUGAGCUACUCCAAUGGUGAGAGAAGAGAGAGGUGAAGGUGUCCAAGGCCUUCUUCUCGAUCUCCUUCUUUUUCUCCACCUUGUUCUUCUCCUCCUUCUUCUUUCUCUCAUUCUUGUUCUUCUUGUUCUCCUUCUCUUUCCAGAGAGAGAGGGAGAGUGUGAGAGAGAGAGAGAGAGAAAUGAGAGAAUGAGAGAGGGAGUGGGCUCAUAAGCCCCUCUAAUGUAACAAAAUUCCGAUUAGCCCCUCAACUUUUCAUCUCUCAACCUGCCUUCACUGGGCAUUCUGCGCCCAGAGGGACCAGUCUCUUGUCGGGGAGACCGGUCCCCGAGAGCCCUCCCUGCGGCCUGGGGACCUUUCGCGUACCGGAAUCGGUCUCUCCCUGGGAGACCGGUCCUCGCCUGAGAGACCGGUCCCCGAGAGCUCGAUUUUCAGGACUAUAGCCGAUUUUGGCCUUCUCUCGCUGGCGUCGCGCGCGGGGAC